UACGUAGGGGGGCGAGCGUUGUCCGGAGUUACUGGGCGUAAAGGGCAUGCAGGCGGUCCGACACGUUUUGUGUGACAGCGGGUGGCUUAACUACCCGAGGAUGCGAAAGACGGUUGGACUUGAGGACUCGAGAGGGACACGGAAUUCCGGGUGGAGUGGUGAAAUGCGUAGAGAUCCGGAGGAACACCGAAGGCGAAGGCAGUGUCCUGGCGAGUGACUGACGCUGAGGUGCGAAAACCAGGGGAGCGAACGGG
rnacentral:rRNA from 1 species